UCAAGCUCCCAAACUUUGCAUCAGAUGCGACCAAAUGGGCUUUAACACAUUAAAACCAACAGUCAGGAACAGUGGUGAUUUUUCCAAAAGCUUCUUCCGGUGACGAGUCAGCAUGUCAACUGAAAUCAGGUCAAGUUCUUGAAUGGUGCAUAUGAAGACGUCAAAGUUUGGGAGGUUGAGGGGGAAAAAAUACUUAAUUUGUACAUUUUAUCUUCUAGCAAUCAUAAGAGGCAUCAGUGUCUGUUUAUAUACAAGUUCUGUAUCCUUUGGUUUCAUGUGGGGGGAUGCGUUCCUUGUGUCCUUCUGUAGAUUCAAAUCAACCAAAUUCAAGAAGUUCAAAAGGGCACACGGUAAAGCAUGACUUGGCAACUGUAAUCAAGCAAUUGAAAGGGAAAAAAACGAACCUUUAUUAUACACAAAAUCUGACAUUUCAAAUGACUGUAAAUGAAAUGACAAAAACUGGGAUUGCAUGGAUUCGAGCGAAGAUUCUGACUGCUCGUGUUGCUGGGAUAAAAUAAGCUCAUUCAGGUUGAUGUGAAAUUCAUGCUCUGCAUUUCUAGAGUGGAAAAUGAGUUCACACCAGCCUAACCUGUGGUCAGAGGCAGGACUGUGUGAAGAGCUCAGCUCAAAGGAUCUGUUCCUGGAAGCGACGUGUCGACUUUCUACAAUUGCCAACAACAAAAAGUGAGGGGCUAAAAUGCACGUAUCGCUUGUGUAAAGAUUGGAUACAUUGAGUGUAAAGCCUGAAACAUUCCCCAAAAGUUACUUGUUAUUAGAGGUAUAUUCAGUAAUAGGGUGACGGACAAGAAUGUGUGCAGAGUUUUCAAACACUCAUCACUCAAACCAGUUUUAUUUAACAACUUAGCUCAUUUGAUGAUGACGAUUUCAGCUACCAACAAAGUUUGUAGUAAUCUCAGCUCUGUUUAACACGAGAUUUUCCUCCCAAAUCAGUGCAGAAAAUGCAAAAAGCCUGUCUAUCCUUUCUGGGCCUGGGAAGUAAAGCAAAGUUCCUGUGUUAGUUAUUAAAUAAAAAAAUAACGUUUCUUAUGUCAGUGAUACUUUUAUUAUGUGGAAAAUUGAAUUUAAAUUACAAAAAAAAUAAAAAAAUAAAAAUUCAAAUUAAAUAAAUAAGGUCAAGCAUAGUACUUGUAUAACUUUAUUAAUUGUUGUGCUUUAACCUCGGGUCAUUUCCUUUCAAAAUAUAAAUGUAAAUGGAACAGAAAAUAUGCGAAUGGGGAAUGAAAAAAAAA